rnacentral:rRNA from 1 species
UACGUAGGGUGCGAGCGUUGUCCGGAAUUAUUGGGCGUAAAGAGCUCGUAGGCGGCUUGUCACGUCGGAUGUGAAAGCCCGGGGCUUAACCCCGGGUCUGCAUUCGAUACGGGCUAGCUAGAGUGUGGUAGGGGAGAUCGGAAUUCCUGGUGUAGCGGUGAAAUGCGCAGAUAUCAGGAGGAACACCGGUGGCGAAGGCGGAUCUCUGGGCCAUUACUGACACUGAGUAGCGAAA